AUGCGUCAAAAUGGAUCGGAGUUGAGACGGGGUGAUGCGUACAUGGAGUUUGAGUGGAAAUCAAAACAAGAGAAUGUAGAGUUGGCAUCAUUUGCUGCGGAUGAGAUCGAGAAAGAAGAAGAGUCGCUGAUGUGUGUUUGGCUGAAGAAGGAGUCUGAUCUCACGAAGUCCAACAACCACUUCUCUUAA